rnacentral:rRNA from 1 species
AUUGAACGCUGGCGGCAGGCUUAACACAUGCAAGUCGAACGGUGAAGCCCAGCUUGCUGGGUGGAUCAGUGGCGAACGGGUGAGUAACACGUGAGUAACCUGCCCCUGACUCUGGGAUAAGCCUUGGAAACGAGGUCUAAUACCGGAUACGUGACGCUCGUGCAUGCGAAGUGUCUGGAAAGAUUUAUCGGUCAGGGAUGGACUCGCGGCCUAUCAGCUUGUUGGUGGGGUAACGGCCCACCAAGGCGACGACGGGUAGCCGGCCUGAGAGGGCGAGCGGCCACACUGGGACUGAGACACGGCCCAGACUCCUACGGGAGGCAGCAGUGGGGAAUAUUGCACAAUGGGCGCAAGCCUGAUGCAGCGACGCCGCGUGAGGGAUGAAGGCCUUCGGGUUGUAAACCUCUUUCAGCAGGGAAGAAGCGCAAGUGACGGUACCUGCAGAAGAAGCGCCGGCUAACUACGUGCCAGCAGCCGCAGUAACAC